AACGAACGCUGGCGGCAUGCCUAACACAUGCAAGUCGAACGAGACCUUCGGGUCUAUUGGCGCACGGGUGCGUAACGCGUGGGAACCUUCCCUUAUGUUCGGAAUAACUCCCCGAAAGGGGUGCUAAUACCGGAUAAUGUCUUCGGACCAAAGAUUUAUCGCCUUUGGAUGGGCCCGCGUUGGAUUAGCUAGUUGGUAGGGUAAAAGCCUACCAAGGCGACGAUCCAUAGCUGGUCUGAGAGGAUGAUCAGCCACACUGGGACUGAGACACGGCCCAGACUCCUACGGGAGGCAGCAGUGGGGAAUAUUGGACAAUGGGCGAAAGCCUGAUCCAGCAAUGCCGCGUGAGUGAUGAAGGCCUUAGGGUUGUAAAGCUCUUUUACCCGGGAUGAUAAUGACAGUACCGGGAGAAUAAGCUCCGGCUAACUCCGUG
rnacentral:rRNA from 1 species